rnacentral:rRNA from 1 species
UACGUAGGGUGCGAGCGUUGUCCGGAAUUAUUGGGCGUAAAGGGCUCGUAGGCGGUUUGUCGCGUCGGGAGUGAAAUCCUACGGCUUAACUGUGGGCUUGCGGUCGAUACGGGCAUCACUGGAGUCCGGCAGGGGAGACUGGAAUUCCUGGUGUAGCGGUGAAAUGCGCAGAUAUCAGGAGGAACACCGGUGGCGAAGGCGGGUCUCUGGGCCGAUACUGACGCUGAGGAGCGAAAGCGUGGGGAGCGAACAGG